rnacentral:rRNA from 1 species
GACGAACGCUGGCGGCGUGCCUAAUACAUGCAAGUAGAACGAGGUGCGAACGGGUGAGUAACGCGUGGUAACCUGCCUCAUAGCGGGGGAUAACUACUGGAAACGGUAGCUAAUACCGCAUCCCAUCAGAUGUGCCCGGAUGGGAUUGGCUAGUAGGUGGGGUAACGGCUCACCUAGGCGACGAACCCUAGCUGGUCUGAGAGGAUGACCAGCCACACUGGAACUGAGACACGGUCCAGACUCCGACGGGAGGCAGCAGUGGGGAAUAUUGCACAAUGGGCGCAAGCCUGAUGCAGCCAUCCCGCGUGUGUGAAGAAGGCCUUCGGGUUGUAAAGCACUUUCAGCAGGGAGGCGUUACCCGCAGAAGAAGCACCGGCUAACUCCGUGCCAGCAGCCGCGGUAAUAC